CUUCUGCGGGCUAGCAGAGGGCUCACGCACACACACACCUCCACGAGCCCGUACCGGCAACCGGAGAAAACAACUUUAAGAGGCAGCGCAGAGCGGGGCUGGGCCAGGUCCCAACCGGGCAGGGAUUUUGGAAGGGCAGAACCACCAUGUACCCGUGUACGCUUCUGCAGAGGCACAAGCAGGUGAUAUACCUAUUUGCUAUGCCGGGGCACAUCACCGCCGUACGACACAGCGAAAUAGUUUCGUUGUGUACAGCACCACAUUUGUGCGUGUGUCUCUCUCUGUCUGUGUGUCUGUCUGUCUGUCUUCGAUCCCCGUCCCGUCGUUCUGUCUCUUUCCAUUCCAGCUCACCUACCGUCACGACCGCCCCCCCACCCCGGGCCCCCAGGCGGCCGCACUCCCGCCUCAACCUCCAGUCGUGGACUGCUCCUGGGCCUCCUGCUCAAGCUGGGCGUGUACCUGGGCCUCACUGCGGUGCUGGUGGGUGUGGAGCUGUCAGCCCUGGCACGUCACCUGAUAUACGGUGGGUCGGGGCCGGGGGGAUAAGCGGUGUGGUGUCGCGGGAGGGCGUCGGGCGCUUUACAUAAGAGUACAAAGUACAGGUCAUAAAAUGGCGCUUAGUAGUAUUAAAGUACAGGUUAUAAAAUGUUUACAGGAAUUGUAUAACGUUCAUUGACUAUACUGAUAUGCUCCUCCCCGUAGCUGAUUUAUUACGAAUAGCGUUUCCUUGUUUUCCGAGUCUCAGCGCAGCAAUUGGGAUUUUGAAAUUUUUAUGCUAGCCUCGCAGUACUGCAGGUAUCCCCUGAUCAGGCCCCCUUCCCCCGGGAGGUGAACCAUCCGCUUGUGGUACCGCAAAUCCCUGUGGUGGUAGGUAGAUAGGUACGGUAGGUAAGGUAGGUACGGCUAGCUAGGUAUGGAAUCUAGGCAGGUGGGUUGCUCUACGCUCGGAGCGUGUCACCCGGCCCACCCUGACCCCCUUUUCCCUCCCUCUCCCCCUCCCCUCCCCCCCCCGGGCCCAGCUGUCCACUUUUGGAUGUUUGUAAGCCUGUGCCUGGACGCCGCGAUGCCGCUAGGCAGCCAGCUCCUGCCGGGAAUACCGCUGCAGCCCGCCAUGGAUGCGCCGUACAUCGCCACCUCCGUACGGGAGUUCUGGGGCCGUCGCUACAACCAGAUCGUGUCGGCGACGCUGCUGGAGACCGUUUACAAGCCGAUUGUGGAGGGGCGGUGGGUGAGCAGGAAGGCGGCGGCGGUCGCUGCCGGUGCGGAGGUGGAUGAGGUGUCGUUGUCGCCGGGGGUGUCGACCGCGGCGGGCGCAGGUUGUGGGGGAAAUGUGGCGGUACGGGCGGGACCACCGCCGCUGCCGCAGACAGGGGCGGUAACAGCGGUGGAUUCUUCAUCUAAUGCCGGCAGCGGCAGCGGUGGUGGUGAUGGCGCCGGUGGUGGCGACGGCAGCGGCAGCGAGCCCCGGCGGCAUCGUACAUGGCUGGUCCUGUCGGGCUUGCUCACUUCCUUUCUGGUCAGCGGCGCCAUGCACGAGAUUUGCAUCUGGUGGGUGUUUUGUGUCCGUCUGUCUGUCUGUCCGUCUGUCCGUCCGUCCGUCUGUCUCGAUUGUAUAAGUACAACGGUUCAUCGUCCCGAAUGCAUCAGCCGAAGUUCCAUUGCUCGCAUACUUCUCACCCGCGUCCUGGGCCCCAGGUUUGCCUGUGGUGGCAGGCUGGAGGGCAGUUUCCGCAUGCUUGGUUUCUUCCUGCUCCAGCCGGUCAUUAUCUUGGCUCAGGACGGGGCGAGUACGGCAAUGGCCAAGUGGGUUCCGGAGCAGCUGUCCGGCAGUCUGGCCGCCAGGGCGCUGCAGACGGGCGUGACGCUGGCGCUGGUGCUGGGCAGCGCGGAGUGGUUCUGGGCCCCUGUGGAGUCUUGUGGUGCGGACAAGCGAGCCCUGGCAGAAGUGGAUAGCGCUAUGAGGUGGUUGCUGGCACGAACACGGUCGCCGGAACUUCUGGCGCGGUGAGCGGUGAAUGCUACUAGUAUUAUUGUUGCUACUCCUAUAGCUGUUGCUUUUCUCGCACGGUUACUGAUACUGUUAUUGAUGGUGAUAUUACGAGACAUGCGGAGAACGUGCGCCGUAACGUGUGGAAGGCCAAAAAAUAAUCCUUCAUAUGGCGCUUGGCGCUUACAUGUACCGACCGUUAAAAAGCGUCUUCCUUCAUGCUGUGUUAGUGCUCGGGAUGAUUUGGAGAAUGGUUUUUGUUGUUAUUGUUGUUGUUCUUAGAUACAAGAAGAAAAGUUCGGAUGGCAACGUAUGUGGACUUCGCUUGCUUUCGUAUUGUGGACGAGAGUGUGCUUGGUUGUACCCCCUAUACCGGUCAUAUAGUGCGCCAUGGUGGUGCGUGUUGCCCUGACGUCGCAGUGGCGACGCUUCGCAACGAGUUACCUUUUCGUUUGGUUUGUUGGUAUUUCCUUCUCAUGUACCUGGUUUCGUUGAUUUGGUCAUAGAUGAUAGCGUGUCGAUGGUUACGGUCCAACGGAGGUAAGCUACGGGCCGUAGGGUGAUGGCUCUUCGAUGUGAUUGCCCACCGCGCCAAUGUGCAGGAAGCUGAAGAACUGACCUUGAUUCCAUUUACAAUUUUCGAAGUUACCUUCAGGCUGUACCCAAUUCCGUUGUACGUCGCGCGGUUAGUGUCGUGAUAUGUGAAAUGACGAGGCAUGAUCCGGAGCACCUCUCUUUGCAUACUCUUGCAGUCAUAGGGAUUAGUAGCAUCUCACUGAUCUAGACGCCGGAAAGGUCGGAAAAUUUCCAGUUUUUAGCGGUUGUGUGCAAGAGCUGAGGUCCGAAACCGGUUGUAAACAUUACCUAGUAACAUACAAAAAUGAUCUACGACGUAAACUCCCACCUGUUCCGGUCAUUCCUGGCUGUCACCGGAGGCGCCAAUGCUGGCGCCGCCAAGUAAGUGCUCCUCCAAUCAAAGCUUUGUACUGAGGCGUAGUUGCCGUGUCAUUAUGUAUGCAAGUACGUUUAUGCCCUUGUAGUAAGUCCCUGCUUGCCUCGGCUCCCUGCUCUUAGCAAUUUUGCGCAUGGGGCUCGCUUGGUUUGCUUAGCUUCUUUACCGUUGCUUCGCAGGACGUCAAGCAGACGUGCACCAGGGGAAAAGGCUAAGGAGAAUAAACACGCGUUCGUGGAGUAAGCCUCCUCUAGACCAUCUGGAUAUUGUCUACAUCUGGACGUGUAUAUUUCGUCGGGCCUCCGUUUACAUGAUAGAAGGGACGAGGCGGAUGUUGUUUAACUACGUUUCCUAGAAUUUUCUGGAAAGUUUUGUGUCGGAAACAGCGCUUAUCGCACUGCCGUGGGAGCUUCGUGGUUUCUGGAGACGCUUGGCCAAGCAGCACUAUCCCGUAGGGAAGUUGCAAAGGUUGACAGACUAAUGUGGGGCCACUUCUCAAGUGUAACGAAGCUAGGUGCGAUGGCGUCUCGCGUCAAGUGCUGAACUGCGUCAAGGGAUCAUGCGUUAUGCUCGUUCUAAUGCAACAUGUUAGGUCGAAAUGGCUUAUUCAGCUUAUCUAUAAACAUAUGCAGCUUCCUGUGUAUUAUGCAUAAACCUCCUUACGGACUUGUUGACAGCACGCAUGAAUCGUAAUCGCCUACAAUUCAAGCAGCUCCCAAUAUAAACAAUUCUUAUCUUCUAUUGUCCAAAUGAGCCCACCCACAGGAUAUGGUGACCUACAACUCAGAUCUAAAGUCUAGCGACCUUGUUGGAAAAACGGGUCAAGAGCCUUGCUCCAGUAUCCACACCAUUUGUAAAUUUCCACACUCUUACUAGUCUAUCCAUCAAGUCCUUAGACCAACCAGUAGAACUUUUACAACCUUGACCCUACAACUGGAUGCUUUCGAGAACCCUCCAAACUGCGGCGCUCGCUGAGCGUAUCCUUAGCGGUCCGCUUACACAAUCGCUCUCUCGGUGGACGGAACGCGUCUACCAGGCAGACUGCCCAGCUCGCACCUGGCUUCCCCACAUCCCGGCUUCGCCGCACGGAGCGCUCCUGCAGUUCGGCACCGCUGCGGCAACGGCGGCCUCUCCCCCCACGGACGAUGCAUCCGGACUCGUGAUCCAUCCUUCGGCAGCGGCGGUACGUCUUUACGCUCCUGCCUUACCUCUUCCUCCCACCCAUACACACAAACCGAGACCCAAUGGCUGUGCCGCACUUUGCCGCUACCCUGCUCGUAUUGAUUGCGACUACGCGUGUGUUUAUGUGUGUGCAAGUAAUCCCCCCCCCUCUCCGGGGGGGGGGGGGAAAUUGUUGCUCCGGGGCCUAUCGCGUGCAACCCUCUCUUCUCCCCCUCCCGUGUACAUCUGCCGCAGCACUCUUUCCUUGGCAGCAGCAGCUUCACUUGCUCGCGGUUCGUCUUUUCCCCCCUCCCGCCUCGUUCCUAUCGGCACUCUCGUUCUCUCUCACACACACAUAUACACACACACGUACACAUACACAUACACACACACCUACCUCCCACUCCCUCCAGCGCCUGCGGGAGCUCCAGGCCGAGAACCCAGGCGGCAGCGGGCUGGCUCUACGGGUGGAGGUGGAGGGCGGAGGCUGCUCGGGGUUCCAGUACAAGUUCAAGUUGGAGGAGGCCACCAAGGAGGACGACAUGUGCGGGGGGUUGGGUGGGAACGGGGGCGGGGGCGGGGGGAAGUGAAGACGUGAUGUGAUGUGAUGAUCCCGGGGGGGGAGAGGACGGGGGAAAGGAGGGCACAAACCAGUCGCCGCCCGCAUCCCCCCACCCUCCCCUCCCCACCUCCCUACUGGACUUCAUCUCUUAUUCCCCACCACCACCCCAACAGGGUGCCGCAGGCACUCUUUCCUUGGAAGCAGCUUCAUUCGCUCGUGGUUUGUCUUUUCCCCCCAACAGGGUGUUCGAGUGCGAGGGCGGUCGGGUGGUGUGUGACGUCAUCUCCCUGGAGUUCCUCCGGGGGGCGGUCCUGGAGUUCGAGGACAGCAUCAUGAGAUCGGCGUUCACGGUAAGGGGGUGGAGGGCCUGGGGGCAGUAGAGUAGAGGAGGACGAGGAGGGGGAGGAGGAGGGUGUGGAGGGCCUGGAGGCAGUAGAGUAGAGGAGGACGAGGAGGGGGAGGAGGAGGGUGUGGAGGGCCUGGGGGCAGUGAGUAGAGGAGGACGAGGAGGGGGAGGAGGAGGGUGUGGAGGGCCUGGGGGCAGGUGCAGUGCCACUGGGGGGGGGGAAGGGCCCCGGCGCCGGUAAGGGGUGGGAGAGGCUGGUGAGGGGUUCACUUAGGGUUUUAGGAUUCCUGGUUCCUGCCGUUUGCCUGCCCGCCUAGCUACAUGUGCCUGUCUGUCUGUCUGUUUGUGUGUCUGUCUUCACAGAUUAGUAAGAACCCCAAUGCGGAGGCCUCCUGCGGCUGCGGGAGCUCCUUCGCUGCCAAGAUGAAGUGAUGGCGGUGGUCACCUUGCUGCUGCUGCUGCUGCCGUGGUUACUGCGGAUGCGGACAAUACUGUGUAACUAAUAUGUGCCCCAUUUGAUCUUUCUUAGGUUGUGAAGGUGCUGUGCAAGACCUUGCUGCUGUUGCUGGUGGUGGUGGCAGUUGUGGGGUUUGUUGCGUUACGUCGUUGUGAUGCGACCCCGGGUGGCGGGCUGGGAGGGAGAUAGGGGAGGGAGGGGGGGAGGGGAGGGACGGAUGGACGGAAGUCCAAAUGGUAGCUGCUGUGCUGAUGGAUCUGGGCUGCAGCCAGAUUCCACAGUGGCCUUGACGGCCCACGUGCGUUUGUGUGUGUGGGGGGGGGGAGGGGGCCGGGAUUGCAAUCUUGAAGAUUGGAGGCGGAGAAGGCGGGGGCUGCAGUGCAUGGUCAUGGCAUAUAAGCCGGAGAGGUGAAGCCGGAACGGGAGGUUGAGCUGUUGUACUGCUGUUGUUGGCAUUGUCCGUACACAGCGGAGGGUGCCCCCGCAGCGGGUUAGGGGGAUAGAGAUAUCGCCACCCGCCACCACUGCGCAGCUGUGCACCGCUUGGAAAGUGCGGUGGUAGCUCCCCCCCCCCCACACACACACACACAGAGCAGGAAGGGACUGAUGCCCCUCGCGCCCAUCUCCUCCCGUCACGGGGAAAGUGCUUUGGCGGUCGUUUCCGUUUGGGGUUUUACGGUUAGGUGCCCCUGACCAGUGUCAGGCCAGGAUCGACGUGUAACGGAAACGCGUACCUACGUACGUACAUACAUACAUACAUACAUACCACUGGGCUUUAGUGAGUCACAGGCAGGGCCAGACAGAGCGAACAUUGUUCGCGCGUGUGUAUAUGUAUGUGUGUAUGUAUGUUGGUACAGGGUGGUAUAGCUUCACCAGCGGCCCCCUUUCCCGAGGCAGUUCCCUGCUCUCCCCUGCGAAAGGGGCAUCCGAAUCCGUUCACCCCAUCCGACUUCAGAAUGUAUUCGUUGGGUUCAGCAACUCACAACCAGCAUCCAACCAAAUCUAGCGGAUCAACUGCGCCUCAACUUAGUUCCAGAUCAGCUCGCAAGUGGAUAUUAUCACGUCCUACACCGUCCAUAAGAUGGGGGGCCACCUCCCAUUUCACACACCCGAGCGGUCGGCAGGCGAAUUUGAACCCGGACACUCCGGGAGCAGAAGUCAGGCCUUAACCUCUGCCAGCCGCCUGCCUACGUGUGUAUGUAUGUAUGUUGUUACAGGGUGGUUAACUUCGCCAGCGGCCC
rnacentral:lncRNA from 1 species